rnacentral:rRNA from 1 species
AGUGAACGCUGGCGGCAGGCCUAAUACAUGCAAGUCGAACGGCAGCACAGCAGAGCUUGCUCUGUGGGUGGCGAGUCGGCGGACGGGUGAGGAAUACAUGGGAAUCUGCCCAGUCGUGGGGGAUAACGUAUGGAAACGUACGCUAAUACCGCAUGCGCCCUAAGGGGGAAAGCCGGGGACCGCAAGGCCUGGCGCGAUUGGAUGAGCCCAUGUUCGAUUAGCUAGUUGGCGGGGUAAAGGCCCACCAAGGCGACGAUCGAUAGCUGGUCUGAGAGGAUGAUCAGCCACACUGGAACUGAGACACGGUCCAGACUCCUACGGGAGGCAGCAGUAGGGAAUAUUGGACAAUGGGCGCAAGCCUGAUCCAGCCAUGCCGCGUGAGUGAAGAAGGCCCUCGGGUUGUAAAGCUCUUUUGUUGGGGAAGAAAAGCAUCUGGUUAAUACCCGGGUGUUCUGACGGUACCCAAAGAAUAAGCACCGGCUAACUUCGUGCC